CUUUGGUUUUGGCACACAUUGUCUUUAAAGGCCGUUUGCAUUAAGAAAAUAAUGAAAGAGCAUUUUUUUUUUUUAAUAUUUUACUAUUUAGAGAGUGCAGGCGAGGGGAGAGGGAGAGAGUCCCAAGCCAAAUCCGCACUGAGCGAGCGUAGAGUCAAUCGCAGAGCUCCAUGUGGGACUCGAUCUCCCGCUCUGAGGUCGUGACCUGAGCCGAGACCAGGAGUCAGACGUUCAUCAAACUGAGCCACCCCGGUGCCCCGUGAAAGAGGAUUUUUAACUCUUAAUUGCAGAAGAAGGCAGGUAAAACUACUGCUUUGGAGCCACUGGAGCGAGCACAGAGUGGAACGCUAAUAGGAAGAAACUUGAGGCCAAUGCCAGAAUUCACAAAGACUGAGGGAGACCUUCAUCGGCACUUCCCACGGGAGUUCCUAGGUUCUAGAAUAUCCAUGUCAGCCAUGGCGGGCUAGGCUUGGGAGAAUGUUGUGCAUGGAGCGAAUCAAACUCCUAAGAAAUACAAGUCUGUUGUAUAAAGAUAUAGUCAACAAUAUCAGGUUCGAGAGAUGGACAUGCGGGGCCCACGCUGGAGGAACAGCUGUCCAAACAGACCGAUUCAGCUUGGUAAGAUCAUGCUUUUGAAAGUCGACUCCAGGACAAGUGACAUCACCAAGAUGGUGACAUAGGUUAUUGCCUGAUUUCACUCCCCCUUCAAAAGAACCAACAACUCUUCAUGGACAGGACACCACUGAGAAAAUCCUAGAAUACAGGGGUGAGGCUGAAGCACCCCCUUCACCACAGAGAAUGAAACAGCACUGGAAGGGUAAGAGGAACAGCUACAUGCUGCUCACAUUUACCCUCCUCCCCUAGGCGGGCACAGCACCAAUCUGAGGCCUGCCCUGAGCCAGUGGUCCCUCCAGUGGAAAAAGAAUCCAGGGUACACAUCCAGCUUCCCCAGUAUUAUGGGUCUCUUCUUGGGGGGUCCCCACUCCAGUCUUUCCCCAGGGGAAUUGCUAGGGAAUCUGGGGGCUCUAGCACUGGGAAUUUGACAGUGGCAGAAGGAGACUUGAAACAAUCCACACUGUGAUCAUGGCAGACUGAGUUCCUACCUGCGGCACCCAAGGGGCAGCCCCCACACGGUGUCUUUGCUCACCUACGGAACCAAGUUCGUGGUGAAAUCUGACCCGGAAACUCCACAGGAUACAGGUCAGCCUGACUAAUGUCCUCAGAUGAAGAGCUGUGCCAUUACUGGAGCCUGGUCAGCUCCCCUGCCCGGGAAGGGGAGCCGAGUCAUAGCCUGGCUUACAGCAUCCUAGCAGAAAGGCAAGAUCGCCUGCAAGCUGCAAAAUCCAUCAACACUCAGGCAGAAAGUUUGGCAGCCGGUUCCAUGUAGGGGGGUUUCCACUGCUUUGUCCCAGCAGACAAGCUGACUCAUAGCCCCACCCAGCGCUAAGUAAAGCUCCCAGCCCUGCUCAGGCAGAAAGCCUGGCCAGAACAUUUGCAAAGCUGCAUAGCCCUGCAGCAUUUCAGCAGAGUCUGGUAGGCAGAGCUGACGGCCUGCAGAGAAAAGCCAGUGGCCCUGUUCAGCCAGGGAAUGUGGGAGCAUGGGUUGGCUGGGGUCAAGACCACAAACAAAGAGCAUCAUCAGCCUUGGAGCAGUUUUCCCUCUCCACUCAGCCAAGGAAACUGCCUCAUAACACUACUUCCUCCCCACCAUCCCACCUCACUGCUGGAUACAGCCUUUAGCCCACCCAACAGCCCUGCACUUGAACAGAGAGCACAGCCUAGGACUUUCCUUGUCUGCAGAGCAAAACCAGCAACCUGUCCGGCCAGGGAAUUCAUUUCACACACUUGCCUGAUUCAGGUACCCAAACAAUAAGCCCGGAAGCCAUGGGCCCUGUCCUGCUGCCCUGCCAGAGUAGGGAAGCUAAUUCAUAGCCUCAUCUACAGCUGAGUGUACUACCCACCCUGACCAGAAUACCUAGGCAACCAUGAAGCCUAUCCUGUAGCCUCAGUAGCUCUACGAAACAAUUAGAAAACAACUAACAAAAGAUCAGUAGUAAGUCCUUAGCUCUCAUUAAUUAAGAUUGAAUUCUCCAGUCAAAGGCACAGAAUAGUUGAAUGGAUAAAAAGGCAAGAUCCAACAGUAAGCGGCCUACAAGGACUCACUUAACCUUAAAGACACACGUAGACUGAGCGUGAAAGGGUGGAAAAGAUGUUUCAAGCAAAUGGUAAUAAGACAACACAGACUAUUUUUCUUAAAGAUUUUGAGAGAACGAGCAGGGGAAGGGCAGAGUAAGAGGGACAAGCAAUCAGACUUUCCACUGAGCAAGGAGCCUGAUGCGGGACCGAGUCCCAGGACCCU